ACGGAAGGCAGCAGUGGGGAAUAUUGCACAAUGGGGGAAACCCUGAUGCAGCGACGCCGCGUGAGUGAUGAAGUAUCUCGGUAUGUAAAGCUCUAUCAGCAGGGAAGAUAAUGACGGUACCUGACUAAGAAGCACCGGCUAAAUACGUGCCAGCAGCCGCGGUAAUACGUAUGGUGCAAGCGUUAUCCGGAUUUACUGGGUGUAAAGGGAGCGUAGGUGGUUUGGCAAGCCAGAAGUGAAAACCCGGGGCUCAACUCCGUGGAUUGCUUUUGGAACUGUUGAACUAGAGUGCAGGAGGGGUAAGUGGAAUUCCCAGUGUAGCGGUGAAAUGCGUAGAUAUUGGGAGGAACACCAGUGGCGAAGGCGGCUUACUGGACUGAUACUGACACUGAGGCUCGAAAGCGUGGGGAGCAAACAGGAUUAGAUACCCUGGUA
rnacentral:rRNA from 1 species